ACAUCAUCCUAACAUUUUGUUAUUCUACAGAAAACAAAGAAAAUUCUCAAUCAUGGCUAACUCAUCGGUUCUUCUUGGUUAUUUGAAGACUGGUGACUGCUCUUACACCGUCCAUGUGCGGUUGCUCCGAUUCAGGGAAGCUGAUUCUUGAUCUCUUUCACAUUUGUUACGGUCAACCGUCAUGCCAGCCACCAUGAAUGUUCACCGGCUAGCCACUUACAGAGACCGUCUCCAGGCUGGUUCACCGGUGCAACCAGAACUUCAGGCUUUCAGACUUGCUUCUGACAGUCCGGUACAGUGAUUCAACCAAUCUAGAUGUGCUAAACGAACCAGAUUCUCACAUUCCUGAAGAACGUUUCGGUGAUCACGAUUCGCUUCUUGGCCCAGCCAACACCAACACACAUCUUCUAGACGUUAUUACUGAGCUCACUGCUAUGAGAAGUACGGUGAGUGACAUUCCUCAAGUAAAAGAGCGAGUUAUGGCGACUAUGUAGAUCGACAGUCUGUUUGACUCACAAGCGAUCUCUUUUCACAAGAAACUUGAAGGUUGUUGUUGCAAGUAGCAUAAACCCAAAGAUGGUAGGAGGACGUUUAUCACACUUGUGUUUUUCGACAAGGAAACUGAUGCAGAAGCUUGACAUGUCUCUUUCAUUUAAAGAUCAGUCAAAACAGAACACAUUCAGAUCUCGAUUAUUAAUCUAUAGUACAUGAAGAAGUUUCAGGUAGAUAUUUAUUUCCCUAUGUCAUCUAAUCUUAUUCAUGUUCAAAGUAUGAAGGUUGUCUCAUGAACGGAGAUGAUGAUUGUGUCAUCCUUUAGCACGUUAAACAUGACAGACAUGAUCUUUUGAAGAGAGAAAUAGAUGUGUAUCUGCUGCAGUUGUACGGCUACUGAGAUAGAGAGGACACACAAGAGGAUGAAUACAAAAUAUAGAUCUGCAGUACUAAUCAUAUCUACUAAUAUAUAAGCCCAUAUGUAGAAAAAUAAUACUAGUGUGCACAAUGAUUUGGUCUAUGUGUUAUUGUAUAUAGUAUUCUUUCUAGACUA